rnacentral:rRNA from 1 species
CCUACGGGUGGCAGCAGUGAGUAAUAUUGGUCCAUGGGCGGAAGCCUGAACCAGCCAAGUCGCGUGAGGGAUUAAGGCCCUGCGGGUCGUAAACCUCUUUUGCCGGGGAGCAGAGGUCCGGACGUGUCCGGGCCGGGAGAGUACCCGGAGGAAAAGCAUCGGCUAACUCCGGGCCAGAAGCCGCGGUAAUACGGAGGAUGCGAGCGGUAUCCGGAUUUAUUGGGUUUAAAGGGUGCGUAGGCGGGCAUUUAAGCCGGCGGUCAAAUGUCGGGGCUCAACCCCGGCCUGCCGUCGGAACUGGGUGCCUUGAGUGGGCGAGAAGUAUGCGGAAUGCGUGGUGUAGCGGUGAAAUGCAUAGAUAUCACGCAGAACCCCGAUUGCGAAGGCAGCAUACCGGCGCCCUACUGACGCUGAGGCACGAAAGUGCGGGUAUCGAACAGGAUUAGAUACCCGAGUAGUC